rnacentral:rRNA from 1 species
UACGCCUACGGGACGCAGCAGUAGGGAAUCUUCCACAAUGGACGAAAGUCUGAUGGAGCAACGCCGCGUGAGUGAAGAAGGGUUUCGGCUCGUAAAGCUCUGUUGGUAGUGAAGAAAGAUAGAGGUAGUAACUGGCCUUUAUUUGACGGUAAUUACUUAGAAAGUCACGGCUAACUACGUGCCAGCAGCCGCGGUAAUACGUAGGUGGCAAGCGUUGUCCGGAAUAACUGGGCGUAAAGGAUGCGUAGGCGGUUAAACAAGU